UACGGGGGGGGCAAGCGUUGUUCGGAAUUACUGGGCGUAAAGGGCUUGUAGGCGGCCAACUAAGUCAGACGUGAAAUCCCUCGGCUUAACCGGGGAACUGCGUCUGAUACUGGAUGGCUUGAGAUUGGGAGAGGGAUGCGGAAUUCCAGGUGUAGCGGUGAAAUGCGUAGAUAUCUGGAGGAACACCGGUGGCGAAGGCGGCAUCCUGGACCAACACUGACACUGAGGAGCGAAAGCCAGGGGAGCAAACGGG
rnacentral:rRNA from 1 species